GUUGUAUGGUUAAGUGACUAAGCGUACACGGUGGAUGCCUUGGCAGUCAGAGGCGAUGAAGGACGUAUUAACUUGCGAUAAGCCCAGAUUAGGCAGUAAAAGCCACUUGAGUCUGGGAUUUCCGAAUGGGGAAACCCACUUACAUAAGUAAGUAUCAUUAACUGAAUACAUAGGUUAAUGAAGCGAACCGGGGGAACUGAAACAUCUAAGUACCCCGAGGAAAAGAAAUCAACCGAGAUUCCGAAAGUAGCGGCGAGCGAAAUUGGACUAGCCCUUAAGCUUUAUAUGCGUUAGACGAACGGUCUGGAAAGUCCGGCGAUACAGGGUGAUAGCCCCGUAGUUGACAACGCACAUUCAGUGAAAUCGAGUAGGGCGGGACACGUGAUAUCCUGUCUGAAUAUGGGGGGACCAUCCUCCAAGGCUAAAUACUACUGACUGACCGAUAGUGAACCAGUACCGUGAGGGAAAGGCGAAAAGAAC
rnacentral:rRNA from 1 species